rnacentral:rRNA from 1 species
GACGUAGGGCGCGAGCGUUGUCCGGAUUUAUUGGCGUAAAGAGCUCGUAGGCGGCUUGUCGCGUCGACUGUGAAAUCCCGCGGCUCAACCGCGGGUCUGCAGUCGAUACGGGCAGGCUAGAGUUCGGUAGGGGAGACUGGAAUUCCUGGUGUAGCGGUGAAAUGCGCAGAUAUCAGGAGGAACACCGAUGGCGAAGGCAGGUCUCUGGGCCGAUACUGACGCUGAGGAGCGAAAGCGUGGGAGCGAACAGG